rnacentral:rRNA from 1 species
GCAUAUCAUAGCGGAGAAAAGAACUAACAAGGAUUCCCCUAGUAACUGCGAAGUGAAGCGGGAAAAGCUCCAAAUUUAAAAUCUGGCAGUCUUUGGCUGUCCGAGUUGUAAUCUAGAGAAGCGUUUUCCGCGCUGGACCGUGUAUAAGUUCUUUGGAAUAGGACAUCAUGGAGGGUGAGAAUCCCGUCUUUGACACGGACUCCCAGUGCUUUGUGAUGCGCUCUCAAAGAGUCGAGUUGUUUGGGAAUGCAGCUCAAAAUGGGUGGUAAAUUCCAUCUAAAGCUAAAUAUUGGCGAGAGACCGAUAGCGAACAAGUACCGUGAGGGAAAGAUGAAAAGCACUUUGGAAAGAGAGUUAAACAGUACGUGAAAUUGCUGAAAGGGAAACACUUGAAGUCAGUCGCGUUAUUCAGAACUCAGCCUGGCUUUUGCUUGGUGUAUUUUCUGUUUAACGGGCCAGCAUCAAUUUUGAUCAUUGGAAAAAGGCCAGAGGAAUGUGGCAUCUUCGGGUGUGUUAUAGACUCUGGUUGCAUACAAUGGUUGGGAUUGAGGAUCUCAGCAUGCCUUUUGGCCGGGGUUCGCCCACGUUCAUGCUUAGGAUGCUGGCGUAAUGGCUUUAAAUGACCCGUCUUGAAACACGGACCAAGGAGUCUAACAUGCCUGCGAGUGUUUGGGUGGAAAACCCGAGCGCGUAAUGAAAGUGAAAGUCGAGAUCCCUGUCGUGGGGAGCACCGACGCCCGGACUUGAACUUCUGUGACGGCUCCGCGGUAGAGCAUGUAUGUUGGGACCCGAAAGAUGGUGAACUAUGCCUGAAUAGGGUGAAGCCAGAGGAAACUCUGGUGGAGGCUCGUAGCGAUUCUGACGUGCAAAUCGAUCGUCAAAUUUGGGUAUAGGGGCGAAAGACUAAUCGACAUCUAGUAGCUGGUCUGCG